UGUUCUAAACCCUAGCCUCCCCUUCCUUCCUCUUCUACAUCAGUCAUCGCCGCCAUCACUGAAUAAGGAUUAAGAUAUCGAUCAACCACUACAGGUAUGUUCUUGAUCUUCAAAUUAACUCCAUGUGUAAGAGUAUGGUGACGGUGGUGGUGGUAGCCUUAAGAGUAACGAAUCUGUAUGUUCUUUGACUCUAUCCUUUUUUUGGUAUGAAAACCCUAACUCGCAUCUUUGAACAAUCGAUGCCAAACCCUCAAGGUAAGUUUGAAAUUAAGUAAUCUACGCCACUGCAUGUGAUUUUCAUUUGAUUUUCAAUGUUCAACGCAGAUUUUAUUCGACACCACGAUGUUUGAUUUACUAACAUUCAUCUACUAUCUGUGUUUGUUCAUGGAUUUGGGGUUUUUGAUGAUUCUCGACUGUUACAACUUGCGUUUCUGUUGAUUAUCUUCUUGGAUUGGUUGAGCAGAGCCACAAACUGGGCUAAAUUCGGUGCAACAGCCGGGUUAGGUGUACCAAUGUGAAGGUGGUUCAGCAUGGUGCUUGCUUAGGCCUUGGCUUGGCAGCUUUAAGGACCGCUGAUGAAGAUAUAUACGAUGAGAUAAAAAGUGUCCUCUACAAUGACAGUGCUGUUGCAGGUGAAGCUGCGGGCAUUAGCAUAGGCUUACUAAUGGUGGGGACUGCAAGUGAGAAGGCAUCAGAGAUGCUGGUAUAUGCUCAUGAGACGCAACAUGAAUAAAUCAUAAGUUACGCUUAUGAAGAUCCGUUUGAUGGAUGGCAACCAUUGUUGCAAAACUACGAGGUAGAUGGGAUGACUAAUCCAAUAGAGCUUUCAGGUUGCUUCGGGUUAGGCUUGGUAUGUGGUUUCGGGUCAGUUUCGAUAACUGAUUAUAGGUAAAAUCGACAACGGGAUGCCAUCCCCUCAAUCUUCCUCCCCCCGGAUUGAUGUUUAUUAAUGUGUGGUUUUAUUUGAAUCGAACAGCGUGGAAACCUGCUAUUGGCUUUAUUAACCGAAAUUGUAUUCCAACUGUUGUGAUUCUUUUAGGUUUAUUUGUAAUUUGCUCUGCUAGAUAUAUCUUUUUCUUUUGUAAAAUAUCAGCAUGAUUAAUAUCCAUAGGUGUGGUCUUCUUAGGAUCUUAUUCUUAAUUAUGUUGAUGUAGUUUAUGUAAUGAAUAACAUUAUUUUUCUGCGUACACAUAUUGAUAAUGACCAUGAAGUGAAGUAGGGUCUUCAACAUUUUUGUAAGGUAACAUUAUACUUUAAUUUUUAUGAACUUGGGGUAUUUUUAUGAAAUUUAAACAGUAAUUUCUACCAUUUCAAUUGGCUUUCAUUUUUUUCAUCUUCACUUAGAUAUGUUCUUCUCUUACCAGGGCAACCCGUAUUCUCUUACGUCGUUGGGAGGCUGUCAUGAUGCAAAAGAGAUUGCAUAUUUGUUGUUUCACUAUUGCAGCCAUAGUCUUAUUUGAGGCCACAACGAAUAACCAAUUUUGAGCAAAAGAAAUUGCAAUUCCGGUGAAUUUAAAUUACCAUUAUCCUUUUAUUAUUGUAGAA